CCUACGGGAGGCAGCAGUGGGGAAUAUUGCACAAUGGGGGAAACCCUGAUGCAGCGACGCCGCGUGAGUGAAGAAGGAUUUCGGUAUGUAAAGCUCUAUCAGCAGGGAAGAAGAAAGACGGUACUUGACUAAGUAGCUCCGGCUAACUACGUGUCAGCAGCCGCGGUAAUACGUAGGGGGCAAGCGUUAUUCGGAUUUACUGGGUGUAAAGGGUGCGUAGACGGCUGUGCAAGUCUGAAGUGAAAGCCCAGGGCUCAACCCUGGGACUGCUUUGGAAACUGUGGAGCUAGAGUGCUGGAGAGGUGAGUGGAAUUCCUAGUGUAGCGGUGGAAUGCGUAGAUAUUAGGAGGAACACCAGUGGCGAAGGCGGCUUACUGGACAGUAACUGACGUUGAGGCUCGAAAGCGUGGGGAGCAAACAGGAUUAGAUACCCCUGUAGUC
rnacentral:rRNA from 1 species